CUUAUUAUGAGAUUUAUCUUCACCCGAACUGGGUUUGAGGAUCAACAUGCUUCUUCUCCUUCUCCAAUGCGCUUCCCAACUGAAAUAAUAACCCGCCGAUUAUGGUUAAAACGUGGUGUCAGCCCCGAUAUGAUUGAAAAAAGAGCCCUGUCGCGGCAUAAUGGAAACUCCCGACUCCUGUUCGGAAUACAUAAAGGCAAGGAGUGAAAGAGAUUUCGAUCAGGGCUCUCUGGCUUGAAUUAAUCACUCACUGUUUAAUGGAUCUUUGAGGCUUGUGCUUGACGCAGUGAGGAGCUGCAUUUCUUGUAUUCCGAGACCAACAGAACCCUGGAUUUUUCAUCAGAAAUCUGCUGCCUCCUUGAAAAUGUCUUGGGGUUCAUGGUGACAUAGGGUUCCAGUUUUUGAUCGGGAAAGGCUAGAGAGAUUCUGCUCCGCUGUUGUAAGAAGAGGACCAGAAGAAGGAUCCAUGAGGACUGGACUGAUGCUGCUGGAGGAUCCAAGAGAUGCUUUUACUUAUCGGAGACAUUAACCCAGAUAGCAGAGGGAGUUCCUCUGAGCCCAUGAAUGCGACCCAGCAAGAAAGACAGAGGAAGACACAAUAGGAUGAGACCGAUCAACGAUGUUAUCCCUGGGGAAAUAAGCACAAGACAAUCUGAGGUGGUGAAAUACUGAAUCUCAGCGAACCAUCUCUAGAACUUCACUCCAGGCUAAAGUCAUUGGAUGGAUGCUGGUCUAAAUGCACACGCCCAACAUCUUUUUGUAAAUGGCUGGAACAUUGGGACCGAAUUAUCCUUCCCUGGACAGAAGGCCAAUAUAUUGAUUGUCCUCACGGAGGAGAACACUUGAAAGUCCAGCUAGAUUACAAAGAGUUCAGUUCAGCAUCUUUAGAAACCACAGUGGUGUUCCCGUCUUAGAGCUUUUGGGCCCUGCCCAUGACAUCAAGAGGAGCACCAAUGGCCUGCGGUGGAGCUAUGGUAAUGAGUGCCUUUUUCUGGUCUUUAGCCAUAGUAUAUUUGACCCAUAUAGGCAGAGUCAAUGGGGACUGCUGGCUCAUCGAAGGCGAGAAGGGUUUUGUGUGGCUGGCCAUCUGCAGCCAAAACCAGCCUCCAUACGAGGCAAUCCCCACGCAUAUCAACAGCACCAUUGUGGACCUUCGGCUCAAUGAAAACAAGAUCAAAAGUAUCCAUUUCUCUGCCCUCAGCCGCUUUGCCAACCUGACCUACCUAAACCUGACCAAGAAUGAGAUCAACUACAUAGAUGAUGGGGCCUUUUCUGCCCAGUUCAACUUACAGGUCCUUCAGUUAGGCUUCAACAAACUCCGUAACCUUACUGAGGGCAUCCUCAGGGGUUUGGGCAAGCUGCAGUACCUCUACCUCCAGGCUAACCUAAUUGAGACUGUGACACCCAAUGCCUUUUUGGAGUGCUAUAGCCUGGAAAACAUCGACCUCUCCAUGAACCGUAUCCAGCAGCUAGAUGGGACCACGUUUACCAGCCUGACUAAACUGACUACCUGUGAGCUUUACACCAACCCUUUCAACUGUUCCUGUGAACUACUUGGCUUUGUGAAGUGGCUCUCUGCAUUCCCCAACAGGACAAAUGAACGGAUGGUCUGUGACUCCCCAUCAGGUGUCUCUGGCUACAGUCUGCUCAGCCAGAACCCUAACAACCCGACUUUUCGGAAUGCCCUCCAUAUGCUCUCCACUGUGUGUACAGAUGACUAUGUGACGCCGUACAUACCUGUGCCUCCUGAGACCACCACACUCCCACCAGACUACACUCCCUGUGGGCUGGAGGACUGUCCCUCCGGAACUGAGCCAGAUGAGAGUAUGAGUAUCAACCCAACGGUGAUUCAUGUGGAUGUAAAACCCAGUAUGAAGCUGAAGCAAGUCUCUAAAACAAGUGCCACCAUCACUGUUCAGAUCCCCCAUCCCUUCAAGAAGAUGUACAGCCUGGUUCUCUACAAUAACAGCUUUUUCACUGAUAUUCAAAACCUCAAAAUUCAGAAUGAGGACAUUGAACUUAAAAACCUGAAACCCCAUACUGAAUACACGUACUGUGUCGCUUCUAUAAAGAAUAAUCUUAGAUUCAAUCAUACUUGUCUGGCAGUCUCCACAGGACCCUGGAAUGGGAAAGAGAGAUCACAAAACCAUGCAACAGCUACCCACUACAUUAUGACCAUCCUAGGUUGUCUCUUUAGUAUGGUGAUUGUCCUAGGGGUGGUCUACUAUUGCUUGCGUAAAAAACGUCAGCAAGAUGAAAAGCACAAAAAGGCAGGCAGCCUAAAGAAAAGUAUAAUUGAACUAAAAUAUGGACAAGAGCUCGAAGGGGGAACCAUUUCCAGGAUGUCACAGAAGCAAAUGAUGGGUGGGGAGAGUAUGUCCCGCAUGCCAUACCUACCAUCUGGUAGUGAAAUGGAGCAGUACAAACUGCAGGAGAUAAGAGAUGACACGCCUAAAAUGGCCAAGGGAAGUUACAUAGAGGUGCGAGGAACCGGGGACCACCAUGAACGCAGAGAGUGUGAGAUGUCCAUGCCUGGGAUGUCCAUGCCUGGGAACAGCCAAGGGUCAGUGGCCGAGAUUUCAACCAUUGCAAAAGAGGUGGAUAAGGUCAAUCAGAUCAUUAACAACUGUAUUGAUGCUCUGAAGUCAGAAUCCACAUCUUUUCAAGGGGGGAAAUCAGGAGCUGUGUCCACCCAGGAGCCCCAGCUGGUCCUAAUAUCAGAGCAGCCGCAGAGCAAGUCUAGCUUCCUGUCCCCGGUGUAUAAGGACAGCUACCACCACUCGUUACAGAGGCACCACACCUCGGAUGUCCCGCCAAAGCGGCCCAGCACUGCCACUGGAGGUCCAAUGCGGAGCCCAAGGCCUUACCGCUCAGAGUCCAAGUACAUAGAGAAGACCUCACCAGCGGGUGAGACCAUCCUCACUGUAACGCCAGCCGCUGCCAUCCUUAGGGCAGAGGCGGAGAAGAUCAGGCAGUACAAUGAGCACAGGCACUCCUAUCCCGACAGCCACCAGCUGCAGAUCGAGGAGCUGGAAGGGCCCGGAAGCCACAAGCCUUCCAUCCUGGAGCCCCUAACUCGGCCACGUCCCAGAGAUAUGGCGUACUCUCCGCUCUCACCUCAGUACCAUAACCUCAGCUACUCCUCCAGUCCUGAGUACUACUGCAAACCACAUCACACUAUCUGGGAGCGCUUCAAACUCCGCGGCAAACGGCACAAAGACGAGGACGAAUACAUGGCUGCAGGGCAUGCGCUACGUAAAAAAGUGCAGUUUGCCAAGGAUGAGGACCUGCAUGACAUUUUAGACUACUGGAAAGGUGUAUCUGCUCAACAGAAAUCUUAAUCUCUCCAAGUAUUUUCUACUGGACCACAACUUUCAGAAAUGACACAGAAACCUUAUAUGUGAAACUCACUAUUGAUUGGAUGGAUACUUCCAUAUUGCGAUCAACUACUUAAACAUAUAUAUAGCAACAUAUUUUGACUGUGAGUAAAAUAGGAAAAGAACCUUGGAAAUGACCACCUUGGAAAUGACCAUCUUAAAUUUGUCACAUUAUGUAUGGAAUUUAUGGGAAUUUAUCUAACGUUUCAAGAAGAAAACAUAUUGCAAAUUAAGAAUAUACAUAUUAUAUGUUGCAAUGGAUUAUAGGUAUUUGGGUAUCGCAUGGCCAAGUCCUGUGACAGUGGAUUUGCUGUUGUGUACUUUGAGAAAAUACUGUAACAAAUAUUGAAAAACAUGUCUACUGAAACCUCAAUAUUUUUCUUCAAGAACUACUGAACAAUCAUACGAAAAAGAACAUUUUUUUCUCCCCACAUAUAUUUAAUUCUACAAUGGAACUAUGUACUGAUACAGUUUCUAUAUCUGCAAUGUUUGCUGUUAAUAAGAUUUAAAAAAGUAUGUUUGAUUCAGGUUUAGCCCAUGGAUUUCAAAGACAGCUCAUUAUUUGUUUUCUAAUGAUUUCCGUGCCCUAACUGAUAAACAUUACACUGGUCAGAUAAUUGGUAUUAUCUUAGCCAGACCACUUAACUUUCCCUUCCCCUAUUUACAGCACUUUCACAUAAUACAUUUUAGAGGCCACUAAACAAACUGCACAAUAUUAAAAGGCUGGAAUUUUCUAAGUGUAAUAUUCCACAUAGACAGUUCAUUGUAUUAUUCUGAUGCUGAUGGUCUGUCUUAGGCAUCAGCAUCGUGAGCCAUUAGUCAUAUCUUUAGAACCAAAGUAGAAAAAGCUGAAGUGUUUACAACAUUUUCUUUCUGCAUGGUCUAAGAAAGUGUUUCCCAACUCUGGUCCUCAAGUACCCCCAACAGCACACAUUUUAGUUGUAGCCCAGCACAAAAACCCCUGAUUCAACUUGUCAAGGGCUUGAUGAUUAGUUGAUAAGUAGAAUCAGGUGUGGUUGUCCGGGGCUACAACAAAAAUAUAUACAGUUGGGGGUUGGGAAACACUGGUCUUAGAUAUGUGUGAACAUAGUAAAUCAGGUUCCAUAUGCAUUUCAUUUGAAUUUGUUCUACUGUGUUUCAAAGAGCCAAAACAUUUUAAGAGUUACUUUUGUUGAAAGGGUAAUUGACCGUUCACCUUUAUAUUACCAAUAUUUUCCACAGGCAACUUUAGUUUCCCACCUGUUGUUUAGGCAGAAUGCUGAGAAUGCAGUUCACAUUCUUUACUGGAAUAUCUGUCCUAUAGCCCGAUGGAUGAAUGUACAAUAUAGAUGAUGAAAUCUGUAUAUGGCAGCUUUUUAAUUUUAUUUCUGAGCGAUUUUUUUAUUUAUUUGCUAUUUACAACCAUAAUCUCGAGUUUCCUUUGACUCUACUUGUUUUUUCAAUUCAUAUAUUUCCCAUAACUUAUCAUAUUUUAUAUUUGUCUCAGCCAACAAAGUAAAAAACAGCGAAGUUGUUGGUUUCACUGAAGGCUCUUGUUGAAGGAUAUUUUCCUAUACUGUGUGGCUGUUAUGACACUUUUGUAAAUUAGAAGUCACCUAUCAGAGGUAUAUCCACAUGCCUGGGUUAACUAUUAAAUAAUAUCCCAUGAAUGCCUGAACUUAACUUCUGCCGCUGGAUUUGUAUAUUAUCUAUACACUAUUUUUGAGUGGAUACAAGAGGUAACUUGGCUGUCUGAGUCCUUAUUUCAACCGCCUUAAAUUUCUGGGAUAUGUGUGCGACUGUAAUUUUCUUUGUUUUUCUUUCAGUGUUGAUAUUGUUGACAAGUCCUUAUUUGAUGUAAUUUUUCUAAAUGCAUUUCAAUAGAUUCCAAGAGCUGUCAGAUUUAUAGAUAAAUUAGCAAGUAAGCUACAUGUUUUUAUACUGCAUAUUGUAGCACUUCUGUGUCUCAUUAAAGUUAGAAUUGUCGGGAAACCGGUGGAAAAAACAGUGAAAAGCUGUUGUUUAAGUACACCAGAAACAAACAAGAGCACAAUAAAGUGUUUUUAUUUCAUUUCUUAAUACUAUGUUACCUGCUUUCAGACAAAGUACUGUGAAAUAAAGGGAAGGGUGCACCCAUCAGUAUCUUCA